GAUGAACGCUGGCGGCGUGCUUAACACAUGCAAGUCGAACGGUGACAGAGAGCUUGCUCCCUGGAUCAGUGGCGAACGGGUGAGUAACACGUGAGCAAUCUGCCCUUGACUCUGGGAUAAGCGCUGGAAACGGCGUCUAAUACCGGAUACGAGCUGCGAAGGCAUCUUCAGCAGCUGGAAAGAACUUCGGUCAAGGAUGAGCUCGCGGCCUAGCAGCUAGUUGGCGAAGUAACGGCUCACCAAGGCGACGACGGGUAGCCGGCCUGAGAGGGUGAACGGGCACACUGGGACUGAGACACGGCCCAGACUCCUACGGGAGGCAGCAGUGGGGAAUAUUGCACAAUGGGCGCAAGCCUGAUGCAGCAACGCCGCGUGAGGGACGACGGCCUUCGGGUUGUAAACCUCUUUUAGUAGGGAAGAAGCGAAAGUGACGGUACCUGCAGAAAAAGCACCGGCUAACUACGUGCCAGCCGCCGCCGUAACAC
rnacentral:rRNA from 1 species